rnacentral:misc_RNA from 1 species
UAUGCCAACAAGUUCAAAUAUAUCAAAGCAAAAAAAUCAACCCUGAGCCAGCAAUGCACCCAGGUGAUUCACAUUGUAACAUGCUACCACAACUUAAUUCUUAUUCCCACGGCCCUCAAAACUGGCAUUCCUUGACUUGCUUGCAUUAUCAAGUGAGGAAUGAUCACUGGAGGCUAAUUUUUGCUUUUUUGCAUUCUGCUUGAUUGUCACAACCAUAUCCAUAGCCAUCUUUUGAUGGUCCCUCGUCUGUGAAUGUAUGUCUAAGCCUUCAACACUUUCACAGUCAACUUUACAAAUACGACACCAUCCCAUGCUAGAUGCCUUUCUCCUUCUUGAACCAUCAAAAGAUUCCAAGUCACCUGGAUAGUUUCCACCAUCACCAGGAAUUCCCUUGUGGGAAAAGCCGCUCCUAAAUCCUGGCUCACCAAGUCGUGAAUGAAAGAAAUUCCCGGGCCCAGGCAAUUCUCCCAUCCGUGUAGGACCAGGGAAAGCACCAAAACCAAAAGGCUCUCCCAUAAGCAUAUGCUCACCCCUUCGCAAAUGAUUGGGAAAUCCAUCUUGACCAGGACCCUCAAACUGGCCCCUGCGUAAAUGGCUGGGUAAAGCUGGAAACCUAUUAUUAUGAAAUGAAUCACCAAAUCUUCGUGAUUCCCUGCCAGCAAUAUCAUCAAGUCCAGGAAAGGCUCCAACUCCAUGUGAGGAUACACCAGGAUAAUCUCUACCUGGACUUCUAGUAGCCAAACCAUCCAUAUGACGACGACCAUAUCUAGGAACUGGUCCAAAAAG